rnacentral:rRNA from 1 species
AGACGAGGUGGUGCAGUUGGUUGUCGUCGAGCUUCGUGUCGUGAGAUGUUGGGUUAAGUCCCGCAACGAGCGCAACCCCUACGUUUAGUUGCUAACGCGUGAAGGCGAGCACUCUAGACGAACUGCCGUUGACAAAACGGAGGAAGGUGGGAUGACGUCAAAUCAUCAUGCCCCUUAUGUUCUGGGCUACACACGUGCUACAAUGGCCGGUACAGACGGACGCAAAGCCGCGAGGUGGAGCAAAUCCUAAAAAGCCGGUCUCAGUUCGGAUUGCAGGCUGCAAUUCGCCUGCAUGAAGUCGGAAUCGCUAGUAAUCGCAGGUCAGCAUACUGCGGUGAAUACGUUCCCGGGCCUU